UAAGCACCCUCUAGCCAUCAACGCGUACGGUUGUUGGGAGACAUUGCCCGGGAGAUGGAUUCUGAGACACGAAUCCAGACCCUACGGGGUGCAGCAGGCGCGAAAACUUGGCAAUGCGAGAAAUCGUGACCAGGGAACUCCAAGUGCGUAGGGUAAGACCUACGCUUUUCUUGACUCUUCAAAGGUCUUGGAAUAAGGGGUGGGUAAGGACGGUGCCAGCCGCCGCGGUAAUACCGGCGCCUCAAGUGGUAGUCGCUUUUAUUGGGCCUAAAACGUCCGUAGCCGGUCUGGUGCAUUCGUGGGUAAAUCAACCCGCUCAACGGGUUGAAUUCUGCGAGCACGGCCAGACUUGGGACCGGGAGAGGUGUGGGGUACUCUCAGGGUAGGGGUAAAAUCCUGUCAUCCUGAGAGGACCACCUGUUGCGAAGGCGCCACACUAGAACGGAUCCGACGGUCAGGGACGAAACCUAGGGGCACGAACCGGAUUAGAUACCCGGGUAGUCCUAGGUGUAAACGCUGUGGACUUGAUGUUGGGGGCGCUCCGAGCGCUCUCAGUGUCGAAGCGAAGGUGAUAAGUCCACUGCCUGGGGAGUACGGUCGCAAGGCGUGAAACUCA
rnacentral:rRNA from 1 species